rnacentral:piRNA from 1 species
UGGCAGAUUCAUUUCUGACCUGUGUUCCAGU